rnacentral:rRNA from 1 species
AAACUUGCCUCACAGCUAGGGACAACAUUUAGAAAUGAAUGCUAAUACCUAAUAUUAUGAUAAUAGGGCAUCCUAUAAUUAUGAAAGCUAUAUGCGCUGUGAGAGAGCUUUGCGUCCCAUUAGCUAGUUGGAGAGGUAACGGCUCACCAAGGCGAUGAUGGGUAGCCGGCCUGAGAGGGUGAUCGGCCACAAGGGGACUGAGACACGGCCCUU